AAGACGAGGAUAACAGUUGGAAACGACUGCUAAGACUGGAUAGGAGACAAGAGGGCAUCUUCUUGUUUUUAAAAGACCUAGCAAUAGGUAUGCUUAGGGAGGAGCUUGCGUCACAUUAGUUAGUUGGUGGGGUAAAGGCCUACCAAGACUAUGAUGUGUAGCCGGGCUGAGAGGUUGAACGGCCAUAUUGGGACUGAGACACGGCCCAAACUCCUACGGGAGGCAGCAGUAGGGAAUUUUCGGCAAUGGAAGAAACUCUGACCGAGCAACGCCGCGUGAACGAUGAAGUAUUUCGGUACGUAAAGUUCUUUUAUUAGGGAAGAAUAAAUGAUGGAAAAAUCAUUCUGACGGUACCUAAUGAAUAAGCCCCGGCUAACUAUGUGCCAGCAGCCGCGGUAAUACAUAGGGGGCAAGCGUUAUCCGGAAUUAUUGGGCGUAAAGGGUGCGUAGGCGGUUAAAUAAGUUUAUGGUCUAAGUGCAAUGCUCAACAUUGUGAUGCUAUAAAAACUGUUUAGCUAGAGUAAGAUAGAGGCAAGUGGAAUUCCAUGUGUAGUGGUAAAAUGCGUAAAUAUAUGGAGGAACACCAGUAGCGAAGGCGGCUUGCUGGGUCUUUACUGACGCUGAGGCACGAAAGCGUGGGGAGCAAACAGGAUUAGAUACCCUGGUAGUCCACGCCGUAAACGAUGAGUACUAAACGUUGGGUAGAACCAGUGUUGAAGUUAACACAUUAAGUACUCCGCCUGAGUAGUACGUACGCAAGUAUGAAACUUAAAGGAAUUGACGGGACUCCGCACAAGCGGUGGAUCAUGUUGUUUAAUUCGAAGGUACCCGAAAAACCUCACCAGGUCUUGACAUGCUUCUGCAAAGCUGUAGAAACACAGUGGAGGUUAUCAGUUGCACAGGUGGUGCAUGGUUGUCGUCAGCUCGUGUCGUGAGGUGUUGGGUUAAGUCCCGCAACGAGCGCAACCCUUAUUGUUAGUUACCAGCACGUAAUGGUGGGGACUUUAGCAAGACUGCCAGUGAUAAAUUGGAGGAAGGUGGGGACGACGUCAAAUCAUCAUGCCCCUUAUGACCUGGGCUACAAACGUGAUACAAUGGCUGUUACAAAGGGUAGCUGAAGCGCAAGUUUUUGGCGAAUCUCAAAAAAACAGUCUCAGUUCGGAUUGAAGUCUGCAACUCGACUUCAUGAAGUUGGAAUCGCUAGUAAUCGCGAAUCAGCAUGUCGCGGUGAAUACGUUCACGGGGUUUGUACACACCGCCCGUCA
rnacentral:rRNA from 1 species